UACGUAGGGUGCAAGCGUUAAUCGGAAUUACUGGGCGUAAAGCGUGCGCAGGCGGCUUUGCAAGCCAGAUGUGAAAUCCCCGGGCUUAACCUGGGAACUGCAUUUGUGACUGCAUGGCUGGAGUGCGGCAGAGGGGGAUGGAAUUCCGCGUGUAGCAGUGAAAUGCGUAGAUAUGCGGAGGAACACCGAUGGCGAAGGCAAUCCCCUGGGCCUGCACUGACGCUCAUGCACGAAAGCGUGGAGAGCAAACAGG
rnacentral:rRNA from 1 species